rnacentral:rRNA from 1 species
UGCCGGAUGCUCCAGUUGAUCGCAUGGUCUUCUGGGAAAGCUUUCGCGGUAUGGGAUGGGGUCGCGUCCUAUCAGCUUGACGGCGGGGUAACGGCCCACCGUGGCUUCGACGGGUAGCCGGCCUGAGAGGGCGACCGGCCACAUUGGGACUGAGAUACGGCCCAGACUCCUACGGGAGGCAGCAGUGGGGAAUAUUGCACAAUGGGCGCAAGCCUGAUGCAGCGACGCCGCGUGAGGGAUGGAGGCCUUCGGGUUGUAAACCUCUUUUAUCGGGGAGCAAGCGAGAGUGAGUUUACCCGUUGAAUAAGCACCGGCUAACUACGUGCCAGCAGCCGCGGUAAUACGUAGGGUGCAAGCGUUAUCCGGAAUUAUUGGGCGUAAAGGGCUCGUAGGCGGUUCGUCGCGUCCGGUGUGAAAGUCCAUCGCUUAACGGUGGAUCCGCGCCGGGUACGGGCGGGCUUGAGUGCGGUAGGGGAGACUGGAAUUCCCGGUGUAACGGUGGAAUGUGUAGAUAUCGGGAAGAACACCAAUGGCGAAGGCAGGUCUCUGGGCCGUUACUGACGCUGAGGAGCGAAAGCGUGGGGAGCGAACAGGAUUAGAUACCCUGGUAGUCCACGCCGUAAACGGUGGAUGCUGGAUGUGGGGCCCGUUCCACGGGUUCCGUGUCGGAGCUAACGCGUUAAGCAUCCCGCCUGGGGAGUACGGCCGCAAGGCUAAAACUCAAAGAAAUUGACGGGGGCCCGCACAAGCGGCGGAGCAUGCGGAUUAAUUCGAUGCAACGCGAAGAACCUUACCUGGGCUUGACAUGUUCCCGACGGUCGUAGAGAUACGGCUUCCCUUCGGGGCGGGUUCACAGGUGGUGCAUGGUCGUCGUCAGCUCGUGUCGUGAGAUGUUGGGUUAAGUCCCGCAACGAGCGCAACCCUCGCCCCGUGUUGCCAGCGGAUUAUGCCGGGAACUCACGGGGGACCGCCGGGGUUAACUCGGAGGAAGGUGGGGAUGACGUCAGAUCAUCAUGCCCCUUACGUCCAGGGCUUCACGCAUGCUACAAUGGCCGGUACAACGGGAUGCGACGCGGCGACGCGGAGCGGAUCCCUGAAAACCGGUCUCAGUUCGGAUCGCAGUCUGCAACUCGACUGCGUGAAGGCGGAGUCGCUAGUAAUCGCGAAUCAGCAACGUCGCGGUGAAUGCGUUCCCGGGCCUUGUACACACCGCCCGUCAAGUCAUGAAAGUGGGCAGCACCCGAAGCCGGUGGCCUAA